UACGUAGGAGGCAAGCGUUGUCCGGAAUUACUGGGUGUAAAGCGCGUGUAGGCGGCUGGCCAAGUCUGUGGUGAAAUCGCUCGGCUCAACUGGGCGGGGUCCAUGGAAACUGGUCAGCUGGAGGACGGUAGAGGUGAGUGGAAUUCCCGGUGUAGUGGUGAAAUGCGUAGAGAUCGGGAGGAACACCCGUGGCGAAGGCGGCUCACUGGGCCGGUCCUGACGCUGAGACGCGAAGGCGUGGGGAGCGAACGGG
rnacentral:rRNA from 1 species